AGAGGGGAGAGGAGACACCAUUAUCAACCAGGUGGUUUUCCCAGAAUGAGGCUUGAACCUUGCACUCCGGUCUGACCCCUGCGAUUUCCCCAAAUGUAGGAAACUCAACUGCAUAACAUGCGGUAGUGGGGGACUGCAUCCCCCAU
rnacentral:snRNA from 1 species